rnacentral:tRNA from 1 species
ACUUUCUUAGUAUCAUUCAGUACAUUUGACUUCCAAUCAUACAGAUCUGGCUCUAUCCAGAAGAAAGUA